CCCCGGUAAACGGCGGCCGUAACUAUAACGGUCCUAAGGUAGCGAAAUUCCUUGUCGGGUAAGUUCCGACCUGCACGAAUGGCGUAAUGAUGGCCAGGCUGUCUCCACCCGAGACUCAGUGAAAUUGAACUCGCUGUGAAGAUGCAGUGUACCCGCGGCAAGACGGAAAGACCCCGUGAACCUUUACUAUAGCUUGACACUGAACAUUGAGCCUUGAUGUGUAGGAUAGGUGGGAGGCUUUGAAGUGUGGACGCCAGUCUGCAUGGAGCCGACCUUGAAAUACCACCCUUUAAUGUUUGAUGUUCUAACGUGGACCCGUAAUCCGGGUUGCGGACAGUGUCUGGUGGGUAGUUUGACUGGGGCGGUCUCCUCCUAAAGAGUAACGGAGGAGCACGAAGGUUGGCUAAUCCUGGUCGGACAUCAGGAGGUUAGUGCAAUGGCAUAAGCCAGCUUGACUGCGAGCGUGACGGCGCGAGCAGGUGCGAAAGCAGGUCAUAGUGAUCCGGUGGUUCUGAAUGGAAGGGCCAUCGCUCAACGGAUAAAAGGUACUCCGGGGAUAACAGGCUGAUACCGCCCAAGAGUUCAUAUCGACGGCGGUGUUUGGCACCUCGAUGUCGGCUCAUCACAUCCUGGGGCUGAAGUAGGUCCCAAGGGUAUGGCUGUUCGCCAUUUAAAGUGGUACGCGAGCUGGGUUUAGAACGUCGUGAGACAGUUCGGUCCCUAUCUGCCGUGGGCGCUGGAGAACUGAGGGGGGCUGCUCCUAGUACGAGAGGACCGGAGUGGACGCAUCACUGGUGUUCGGGUUGUCAUGCCAAUGGCACUGCCCGGUAGCUAAAUGCGGAAGAGAUAAGUGCUGAAAGCAUCUAAGCACGAAACUUGCCCCGAGAUGAGUUCUCCCUGAGACUUAGAGUCUCCUGAAGGAACGUUGAAGACGACGACGUUGAUAGGCCGG
rnacentral:rRNA from 2 species